rnacentral:rRNA from 1 species
AUUGAACGCUGGCGGCAGGCCUAACACAUGCAAGUCGAACGGUAACAGGAAGCAGCUUGCUGCUUUGCUGACGAGUGGCGGACGGGUGAGUAAUGUCUGGGAAACUCCCCGAUGGAGGGGGAUAACUACUGGAAACGGUAGCUAAUACCGCAUAACGUCGCAAGACCAAAGAGGGGGACCUUAGGGCCUCUUGCCAUCGGAUUUGCCCAGAUGGGAUUAGCUAGUAGGUGGGGUAACGGCUCACCUAGGCGACGAUCCCUAGCUGGUCUGAGAGGAUGACCAGCCACACUGGAACUGAGACACGGUCCAGACUCCUACGGGAGGCAGCAGUGGGGAAUCUUGCACAAUGGGCGAAAGCCUGAUGGAGCAAUGCCGCGUGUAUGAAGAAGGCCUUCGGGUUGUAAAGUACUUUCAGCGGGGAAGAAGGGAGUAAAGUUAAUACCUUUGCUCAUUGACGUUACCCGCAGAAGAAGCACCGGCUAACUCCGUG